rnacentral:misc_RNA from 1 species
UUUCCGUAGGUGAACCUGCGGAAGGAUCAUUAACGAGUUAGGCUCUCUCUGGCCCGACCUCCCAACCCUUUGUCUACUUGACCAUCGUUGCUUCGGCUAGCCCGUCCUCACGGACCGCCGUAGGGAACUUUACUGGCCCUCUGGUCCGCGCUCGUCGGUAGCCCAACCUUUAAAAUCUUUAACUAAACGUGCCUUAAUCUAAGUACAAUUAUUAAAUAAAAUAAAAACUUUCAACAACGGAUCUCUUGGUUCUG